UCUCUGGUAGUAUAGUGGUAAGUAUUCCCGCCUGUCAUUAAUUGACUGAGCGCGGGCGACCGGGGUUCAAUUCCCCGCCAGAGAG